rnacentral:pre_miRNA from 1 species
GCAAUACUCUUUUCGUCCAAUAAAAAAUAUUUUAAGUUUGUCAAAAUUUAAAUGUAUCUAGAUAUGACUUGGUGUAUAAAUGCAUUCAAAUUUAGUCGAAACAUUUUUUGUUGGACGGAGGAAGUAGAAA